rnacentral:rRNA from 1 species
GGGUUGUGAGGUUAAGCGACUAAGCGUACACGGUGGAUGCCCUGGCAGUCAGAGGCGAUGAAGGACGUGCUAAUCUGCGAUAAGCGUCGGUAAGGUGAUAUGAACCGUUAUAACCGGCGAUUUCCGAAUGGGGAAACCCAGUGUGAUUCGUCACACUAUCAUUAACUGAAUCCAUAGGUUAAUGAGGCGAACCGGGGGAACUGAAACAUCUAAGUACCCCGAGGAAAAGAAAUCAACCGAGAUUCCCCCAGUAGCGGCGAGCGAACGGGGAGGAGCCCAGAGCCUGAAUCAGUGUGUGUGUUAGUGGAAGCGUCUGGAAAGGCGCGCGAUACAGGGUGACAGCCCCGUACACAAAAAUGCACAUGCUGUGAGCUCGAUGAGUAGGGCGGGACACGUGGUAUCCUGUCUGAAUAUGGGGGGACCAUCCUCCAAGGCUAAAUACUCCUGACUGACCGAUAGUGAACCAGUACCGUGAGGGAAAGGCGAAAAGAACCCCGGCGAGGGGAGUGAAAAAGAACCUGAAACCGUGUACGUACAAGCAGUGGGAGCACGCUUAGGCGUGUGACUGCGUACCUUUUGUAUAAUGGGUCAGCGACUUAUAUUCUGUAGCAAGGUUAACCGAAUAGGGGAGCCGAAGGGAAACCGAGUCUUAACUGGGCGUUAAGUUGCAGGGUAUAGACCCGAAACCCGGUGAUCUAGCCAUGGGCAGGUUGAAGGUUGGGUAACACUAACUGGAGGACCGAACCGACUAAUGUUGAAAAAUUAGCGGAUGACUUGUGGCUGGGGGUGAAAGGCCAAUCAAACCGGGAGAUAGCUGGUUCUCCCCGAAAGCUAUUUAGGUAGCGCCUCGUGAAUUCAUCUCCGGGGGUAGAGCACUGUUUCGGCAAGGGGGUCAUCCCGACUUACCAACCCGAUGCAAACUGCGAAUACCGGAGAAUGUUAUCACGGGAGACACACGGCGGGUGCUAACGUCCGUCGUGAAGAGGGAAACAACCCAGACCGCCAGCUAAGGUCCCAAAGUCAUGGUUAAGUGGGAAACGAUGUGGGAAGGCCCAGACAGCCAGGAUGUUGGCUUAGAAGCAGCCAUCAUUUAAAGAAAGCGUAAUAGCUCACUGGUCGAGUCGGCCUGCGCGGAAGAUGUAACGGGGCUAAACCAUGCACCGAAGCUGCGGCAGCGACGCUUAUGCGUUGUUGGGUAGGGGAGCGUUCUGUAAGCCUGUGAAGGUGUACUGUGAGGUAUGCUGGAGGUAUCAGAAGUGCGAAUGCUGACAUAAGUAACGAUAAAGCGGGUGAAAAGCCCGCUCGCCGGAAGACCAAGGGUUCCUGUCCAACGUUAAUCGGGGCAGGGUGAGUCGACCCCUAAGGCGAGGCCGAAAGGCGUAGUCGAUGGGAAACAGGUUAAUAUUCCUGUACUUGGUGUUACUGCGAAGGGGGGACGGAGAAGGCUAUGUUGGCCGGGCGACGGUUGUCCCGGUUUAAGCGUGUAGGCUGGUUUUCCAGGCAAAUCCGGAAAAUCAAGGCUGAGGCGUGAUGACGAGGCACUACGGUGCUGAAGCAACAAAUGCCCUGCUUCCAGGAAAAGCCUCUAAGCAUCAGGUAACAUCAAAUCGUACCCCAAACCGACACAGGUGGUCAGGUAGAGAAUACCAAGGCGCUUGAGAGAACUCGGGUGAAGGAACUAGGCAAAAUGGUGCCGUAACUUCGGGAGAAGGCACGCUGAUAUGUAGGUGAAGCGACUUGCUCGUGGAGCUGAAAUCAGUCGAAGAUACCAGCUGGCUGCAACUGUUUAUUAAAAACACAGCACUGUGCAAACACGAAAGUGGACGUAUACGGUGUGACGCCUGCCCGGUGCCGGAAGGUUAAUUGAUGGGGUUAGCGCAAGCGAAGCUCUUGAUCGAAGCCCCGGUAAACGGCGGCCGUAACUAUAACGGUCCUAAGGUAGCGAAAUUCCUUGUCGGGUAAGUUCCGACCUGCACGAAUGGCGUAAUGAUGGCCAGGCUGUCUCCACCCGAGACUCAGUGAAAUUGAACUCGCUGUGAAGAUGCAGUGUACCCGCGGCAAGACGGAAAGACCCCGUGAACCUUUACUAUAGCUUGACACUGAACAUUGAGCCUUGAUGUGUAGGAUAGGUGGGAGGCUUUGAAGUGUGGACGCCAGUCUGCAUGGAGCCGACCUUGAAAUACCACCCUUUAAUGUUUGAUGUUCUAACGUUGACCCGUAAUCCGGGUUGCGGACAGUGUCUGGUGGGUAGUUUGACUGGGGCGGUCUCCUCCUAAAGAGUAACGGAGGAGCACGAAGGUUGGCUAAUCCUGGUCGGACAUCAGGAGGUUAGUGCAAUGGCAUAAGCCAGCUUGACUGCGAGCGUGACGGCGCGAGCAGGUGCGAAAGCAGGUCAUAGUGAUCCGGUGGUUCUGAAUGGAAGGGCCAUCGCUCAACGGAUAAAAGGUACUCCGGGGAUAACAGGCUGAUACCGCCCAAGAGUUCAUAUCGACGGCGGUGUUUGGCACCUCGAUGUCGGCUCAUCACAUCCUGGGGCUGAAGUAGGUCCCAAGGGUAUGGCUGUUCGCCAUUUAAAGUGGUACGCGAGCUGGGUUUAGAACGUCGUGAGACAGUUCGGUCCCUAUCUGCCGUGGGCGCUGGAGAACUGAGGGGGGCUGCUCCUAGUACGAGAGGACCGGAGUGGACGCAUCACUGGUGUUCGGGUUGUCAUGCCAAUGGCACUGCCCGGUAGCUAAAUGCGGAAGAGAUAAGUGCUGAAAGCAUCUAAGCACGAAACUUGCCCCGAGAUGAGUUCUCCCUGACUCCUUGAGAGUCCUGAAGGAACGUUGAAGACGACGACGUUGAUAGGCCGGGUGUGUAAGCGCAGCGAUGCGUUGAGCUAACCGGUACUAAUGAACCGUGAGGCUUAACCUUACAACGCCGAAG